rnacentral:misc_RNA from 1 species
CGUGCGCCCGAGUCUCCGGACG